rnacentral:tRNA from 1 species
AUUUAUUUAGUAUAUAAGUACAUUUGACUUCCAAUCAAAAAGAUUGAUACAUCAAAAUAAAUA